rfam:Triticum aestivum genome assembly, contig: Triticum_aestivum_CS42_TGACv1_scaffold_320714_4BL
UUACUACUCCUUCCGUCCAAAAAUACUUGUCAUCAAAAUGGAUGAAAAGGGAUUAAUCUAGAACUAAAAUACAUCUAGAUACAUCCCUUUUUAUUCUUUUUGAUGACAAGUAUUUUCGGACGGAGGGAGUACUUU